UUUUCUUCUAAUAGAAUACAGCCUGGAAAGCUUGAAUUCUAGAUUUCUCAGUCUGUUUCACAGUUAGGAGAGACCACAUGACAGAGCUCUGUAUAAGGAGGUGGAGUUGCUGUUCAAAAGGGAAGAUGCUAGAAAGAUACCAGUUGAAGGAAUAAGAGAAAGGAACGAAAGGAACUAAAUCCUUGGAUCAUGUUGGCUGAAGCAAAUAAUUGUAACAGCACUCAAGAAAUGAAUGAAUACCACAGGGAAGAGCUUCAACCACCACUGCCCCUGACAACCUUAAUAGUAGACAUCAGCUGUCACCUGACAACAUUGUUCUGCAAAGCUUUAUUUUAAACUUCUCACCUUCCAGGACUAGGGGUA
rnacentral:lncRNA from 1 species